ensembl:ncRNA B0334.19 ncRNA
CGUGACUGGGUAAUAUAACCUAGACGCGAAAUUUUGCGAUUUUCGUGACAACUUUUUGUAAAAUACAAGAGGGUGUGCACGCAUGCGCCUUUAAAGAGUACUGUAAUUUCAAAUUUUUGUUUAAAAUUUCUGCUGACUUUCUAUCUACUU